AUUGAACGCUGGCGGCAGGCCUAACACAUGCAAGUCGAGCGGAUGAAGGGAGCUUGCUCCUGGAUUCAGCGGCGGACGGGUGAGUAAUGCCUAGGAAUCUGCCUGGUAGUGGGGGAUAACGUCCGGAAACGGGCGCUAAUACCGCAUACGUCCUGAGGGAGAAAGUGGGGGAUCUUCGGACCUCACGCUAUCAGAUGAGCCUAGGUCGGAUUAGCUAGUCGGUGGGGUAAAGGCCUACCAAGGCGACGAUCCGUAACUGGUCCGAGAGGAUGAUCAGUCACACUGGAACUGAGACACGGUCCAGACUCCUACGGGAGGCAGCAGUGGGGAAUAUUGGACAAUGGGCGAAAGCCUGAUCCAGCCAUGCCGCGUGUGUGAAGAAGGUCUUCGGAUUGUAAAGCACUUUAAGUUGGGAGGAAGGGCAGUAAGUUAAUACCUUGCUGUUUUGACGUUACCAACAGAAUAAGCACCGGCUAACUUCGUG
rnacentral:rRNA from 1 species